GUGAGGAAUAUUGGUCAAUGGGCGGGAGCCUGAACCAGCCAAGUCGCGUGAAGGAAGAAGGAUCUAUGGUUCGUAAACUUCUUUUGCAGGGGAAUAAAGUACGGUACGUGUACCGUUUUGUAUGUACUCUGCGAAUAAGGAUCGGCUAACUCCGUGCCAGCAGCCGCGGUAAUACGGAGGAUCCAAGCGUUAUCCGGAUUUAUUGGGUUUAAAGGGUGCGCAGGCGGGUUGAUAAGUCAGCGGUGAAAGUUUGCAGCUUAACUGUAAAAUUGCCGUUGAAACUGUCGAUCUUGAGUGCAAAUGAGGUAAGCGGAAUGUGUUGUGUAGCGGUGAAAUGCUUAGAUAUCACGCAGAACUCCGAUUGCGAAGGCAGCUUACUAAGCUACAACUGACACUGAAGCACGAAAGCGUGGGGAUCAAACAGGAUUAGAAACCCUUGUAGUCC
rnacentral:rRNA from 1 species